UACGUAGGGUUCAAGCGUUGUCCGGAAUUAUUGGGCGUAAAGAGCUCGUAGGCGGUUUGUUGCGUCGGCUGUGAAAUCCCGAGGCUCAACCUCGGGUCUGCAGUCGAUACGAGCAAACUAGAGUGUUGCAGGGGAGACUGGAAUUCCUGGUGUAGCGGUGAAAUGCGCAGAUAUCAGGAGGAACACCGGUGGCGAAGGCGGGUCUCUGGGCAACAACUGACGCUGAGGAGCGAAAGCGUGGGGAGCGAACAGG
rnacentral:rRNA from 1 species